rnacentral:rRNA from 1 species
UCGAGCGGCAGCGCGGGGCAACCUGGCGGCGAGCGGCGAACGGGUGAGUAAUACAUCGGAACAUGUCCUGUCGUGGGGGAUAGCCCGGCGAAAGCCGGAUUAAUACCGCAUGAGCCCGAGAGGGGAAAGUGGGGGACCGCAAGGCCUCACGCGAUUGGAUUGGCCGAUGUCCGAUUAGCUAGUUGGCGGGGUAAGAGCCCACCAAGGCGAUGAUCGGUAGCUGGUCUGAGAGGAUGAUCAGCCACACUGGGACUGAAACACGGCCCAGACUCCUACGGGAGGCAGCAGUGGGGAAUUUUGGACAAUGGGGGCAACCCUGAUCCAGCCAUUCCGCGUGAGUGAAGAAGGCCUUCGGGUUGUAAAGCUCUUUUGUCCGGAGCGAAAAGGUUACGGUGAAUAUCCGUGACUACUGACGGUACCGGAAGAAUAAGCACCGGCUAACUACGUGCCAGCAGCCGCGGUAAUACGUAGGGUGCGAGCGUUAAUCGGAAUUACUGGGCGUAAAGCGUGCGCAGGCGGUUUUGUAAGCCAGAUGUGAAAUCCCCGGGCUUAACCUGGGAAUGGCAUUUGGGACUGCAAGGCUGGAGUGCGGCAGAGGAGACUGGAAUUCCUGGUGUAGCAGUGAAAUGCGUAGAUAUCAGGAGGAAUACCGAUGGCGAAGGCAGGUCUCUGGGCUGACCCUGACGCUCAUGCACGAAAGCGUGGGGAGCAAACAGGAUUAGAUACCCUGGUAGUCCACGCCCUAAACGAUGUCGACUGGUUGUUGGGGGGUUUGACACUCUCAGUAACGAAGCUAACGCGUGAAGUCGACCGCCUGGGGGAGUACGGCCGCAGGGU